GCUUCAGUUGCUUAAUGGUAAAAGCGUUAAUUUGAAGCAUUAAAGAAGUGAGUUCAAUUCUCUCCUGAGGCA
rfam:Trametes pubescens strain FBCC735 TRAPTBscaffold_1672, whole genome shotgun sequence.